rnacentral:rRNA from 1 species
UACGGAGGGUGCGAGCGUUGUCCGGAAUCAUUGGGCGUAAAGGGCGCGUAGGUGGCUUCUCAAGCGUGCGGUGAAAGCCUGGGGCUCAACCCCGGGUCGGCCGUGCGAACUGGGGGCUUGAGCACUGUAGAGGCAGGUGGAAUUCCGGGUGUAGCGGUGGAAUGCGUAGAGAUCCGGAAGAACGACCGGUGGCGAAGGCGGCCUGCUGGGCAGUAGCUGACGCUGAGCGCGACG